GAUGAACGCCGGCGGUGUGCCUAAUACAUGCAAGUCGUACGCACUGGCCCAACUGAUUGAUGGUGCUUGCACCUGAUUGACGAUGGAUCACCAGUGAGUGGCGGACGGGUGAGUAACACGUGGGUAACCUGCCCUUCAGUGGGGGAUAACAUCCGGAAACGGGUGCUAGUACCGCAUAGUUUCUUUUUCCGCCUGGAAGAAGAGGGAAAGAUGGCCUUUGCGCUAUCACUGAGGGAUGGACCCGCGGCGUAUUAGUUAGUUGGUGGGGUAAUGGCCUACCAAGACGAUGAUACGUAGCCGACCUGAGAGGGUGAUCGGCCACAUUGGGACUGGGACACGGCCCAA
rnacentral:rRNA from 1 species